rnacentral:rRNA from 1 species
UAGGGAAUCUUCCGCAAUGGACGCAAGUCUGACGGAGCAACGCCGCGUGAGUGAAGAAGGAUUUCGGUUCGUAAAACUCUGUUGUUAGAGAAGAACAGCGCAUAGAGUAACUGUUAUGCGUGUGACGGUAUCUAACCAGAAAGCCACGGCUAACUACGUGCCAGCAGCCGCGGUAAUACGUAGGUGGCAAGCGUUGUCCGGAUUUAUUGGGCAUAAAGCGAGCGCAGGCGGUCAAUUAAGUCUGAUGUGAAAGCCCCCGGCUCAACCGGGGAGGAUCAUUGGAAACUGGUUGACUUGAGUGCAGAAGAGGAGAGUGGAAUUCCAUGUGUAGCGGUGAAAUGCGUAGAUAUAUGGAGGAACACCAGUGGCGAAGGCGACUCUCUGGUCUGUAACUGACGAUGAGGCUCGAAAGCGUGGGUAGCAAACAGG